rnacentral:rRNA from 1 species
UACGAAGGGGGGCUAGCGUUGCUCGGAAUCACUGGGCGUAAAGGGUGCGUAGGCGGGUCUUUAAGUCAGGGGUGAAAGCCUGGAGCUCAACUCCAGAACUGCCUUUAAUACUGGGAAUCUUGAGUUCGGAAGAGGUGAGUGGAACUGCGAGUGUAGAGGUGAAAAUCCGUAGAUAUUCGCAAGAACACCAGUGGCGAAGGCGGCUCACUGGUCCAAUACUGACGCUGAGGCACGAAAGCGUGGGGAGCAAACAGGG